UAUUGACUUUUCUACCCUCGUUAUGUCUGAGAUUUUGUAGAUAUAUCUGAACUAUGAGAUGGUUCAACAAUGCAUGUUUUAAUUUCUAUGUUUUGUGACAAUUGAAAUGAUCGUGGUCUACAAUCGUGCAGUUUAUAAUAGUCCUUUCUUGUCAAUUCUUGAUUGACAUAAGAACCAUUUCAACUACUAAAUAUAAGGGAGAGUAGAUACUAGUAGAGCAUCACCUAUUCAUAGAUCUGCACCUGCCUUUAUACAGUUGGUUACAAAAUUCUCUAUUUUAGAAAGAGGAACUAAGGUAGUAGAUCUUUUAGCUCCUAAAAGCUGUGGAGGAAAAAUCGGACUACUCAGGGGAGCUGAAGCGGGUAAAACAGUACUGCUAAAGCUCACGGGGUGAAUGUUGGGCGUAGUGGUCCAGUCCCCUUGUAUAUAUAUAUUCAUUCUUUUGAUAUCAUAGUGUCCGGUCCAGUUUGCAUGCACCUCGAUUACUGUUAUUGGGUAUCUACUACUUCCCACCAGUGCAAACAUCAGUUAACUAUCCGUCAAGACUUAGACAAAUGUGAAGAAAUCUCCAAUUAUUUUUUGGAAAUUGAACAUGAGACCUCUUGCUUCUCAACCCACUUUAUCAACCACUAGGCCACGCCCUUUGUUGUGCUUUGAACUAAUAAAUAUUAUGUGAAAAGUAUACUUAUCCUUUUUUCAGCAGACAGCCCCCUACUGAAAUCAUUGGAUCACCAAGAUGGAGAUGGAUAUACAUCUACUUAUUCAACUUAGUUAUGACUUUACGAUCAGCACUGUGAUUUCUUUCUACCAAUUACCAUGCAUACAUGAAUGUACUUUAUCUUCCCACCUGAAUUUUAUCUCAAGUGGAAGGAGUGAAAGUUAUUAACGUACUGUACUUGAAGAUCGCUCUAAAUUUACUUGCCUCGAUGGAUGAAGUUAAUGGCUCAAUGAGGGCAGUAAAUCGAGUAGGUCAAGCUUUGCAUUUUAUGCUGUUUGUUCUACUUGCCUCAUAAUUUUGGGAUCUUGAGUAGAGAUCAAGCCAAGAUUGGUUCUCUGUUUCUCGGUCCCCGAUAAUUGUUAGUUAUUACUCCCUCCUUUUCAAUGUGUUUGUCUUACUUUCCUCUAUCUCUUUCCUUUUUUGGCAACUCUUUAAUUCUAACUUUCCACAUGGCAUGUUUAACACCACAAGAUUAAGGCAUUUUGGUACAUUUUGCAUAUCUUUAAUUUUUAUCCAUCAGAUUCAAAACUCUUCUUUACUUUAUUAAACACUGUGUCAAGUCAAAACCAGUCAAACAAAUUAAAACGGAGGGAGUAAUUUGUUUCUGGUUAUAAACCUUAGGUAUAAGUACCAAAUAAUCAUAUGCAUUCCAUCUUCUUAUUCCUCCUCCUUAGCCACAACUUACUGGUGUAGGAGUUUCACCGCUCUCUACUAAGUCCUAGCCUCUCCUCUUUGCUCAACUGCGUGUCAGCAUCUAAUCUUAGCAUGCCUUCAUGUUUGUCUCCAACACAUACUUUUCGGCCUAGCAAGAUAACUUCGGAAGUGCUUGCUUAUGACAGAUCAAUUAUGAGUACUGUUGUUGAAUAUGAUUGUUCCAUUAUCUGUUGUUUGUGUAUUUUGCAGGUUCGAUCAGCUGCACUAGAUACAUGGCUCCCGGAACAAGUUGCAUUUAGUUAAUGUUAGGUUUUUCUCCUCAAAUUGUUACACUUUUUAUGUUGAUGUGAUAAAUAAGUUGACUCAACUGUUGAUCCAAUAAAUAGCCUAAUUGUGUGUUAUCCCUUUUUUGUUGCCGGUAUGGCAAUGGGAAAUGAGAAGACAAAUAGUUAUUGGGAAGCCGAGCUUCCUCCAAAUUCUGAUAGAGUUGGUAUUAAGAAUUUCAUCCAUGCAAAGUAUGCCCCGUACUAGUUCCUGGCUUAAGCAAUCCUUUCGAUCUAGUAUGUUGCAACUUCAUCGGCAGUAUCUGUAUUUCGUUUAGGUAUGAGGAUAAGAGGUGUAUCCCUAAGGAUGAGAAGGAGAUUCAAGAAUGGAGGGCCGCGGGGCGACAACGACAUUGUGACUGAAGUAGGCAUGGGCAUGCUCGUAACUCCAGUGGUUCAUCCGAUGAGAGGGUGAGUAUACAAUGCCCUAGCACAAAGAAAGCAAUGUCUGCUGCUAGAUUCAAUAUACCUCUGCCACCAAGAGGGCUGGAAUAAGUAUCUCCAGGUGCGGGUGCACUUCCUCACCAGACAAGUUAGACGACACAACCGAUUGCAGUUGCUGAAUCUGUAAAGCAGCUGUUGAAGAAGAACCAGCAGCAAAAAAUGGUGUUGCGCAAGCUGAUCAUCGAAAAUGCCAAUCCGCCUCUGCAAUUGACGAUUUAUUCAAGGAUUCAUCAACACUGUCGUCAUCUGUUUCAACUUCCUCCUUGUCCGAUAAGCCUCCGAAAGAUGUCAAAAAUGAUAUCAUGAACCUUUUCGACAAGGUAUUAUAUGUAAUUUUUGACAUAGUACCUUAAGAUGUCAUCAAGAGAAUCACUGCUAUGAGGAAUUUUAUGUUCCCCAGAGAAUGCCAUCUAAUGACAAAUGGAUCCAUUAAUGAGUCUUUUGAGGUAUUAUUUUUCCUACGUGUGGAUUCAGAGGUCUACCAGAAAUUACGCCUUUACAGUCCGUGAACGCAGAAGUUUAUGAGUCCUAGUAUACCUUAUCUUUUCCUAUGUGCGACAAUGUGGUAUCAACAAUCACGUUUGCUGACAGACUGAUGUUUUAAGGUUCCUUCCAUAAAUUAUUGUCAUUGUUAUAUCUAAACCAUGACUUCUGCUAUUGUCCCAUAUAUUGUUGAAGAUUUAUAUGAAAA